rnacentral:misc_RNA from 1 species
GAUGAAGAACGUAGCGAAAUGCGAUAAGUAAUGUGAAUUGCAGAAUUCAGUGAAUCAUCGAAUCUUUGAACGCACAUUGCGCCCGACAGUAUUCUGGCGGGCAUGCCUGUUCGAGCGUCAUUUCAACCAUCAAGCCCCCGGGCUUGUGUUGGGGACCUGCGGCUGCCGCAGGCCCUGAAAACCAGUGGCGGGCUCGCUAGUCACUCCGAGCGUAGUAGUUACAUCUCGCUCAGGGCGUGCUGCGGGUUCCGGCCGUUAAAAGCCUUUUACCCCAAGGUUGACCUCGGAUCAGGUAGGAAGACCCGCUGAACUUAAGCAUAUCAAUAAGCGGAGGA